GGAAUUUUCCGCAAUGGGCGAAAGCCUGACGGAGCAACGCCGCGUGAGGGAUGAAGGCCUCUGGGCUGUAAACCUCUUUUCUCAAGGAAGAAGAUCUGACGGUACUUGAGGAAUAAGCCACGGCUAAUUCCGUGCCAGCAGCCGCGGUAAUACGGGAGUGGCAAGCGUUAUCCGGAAUUAUUGGGCGUAAAGCGUCCGCAGGCGGCCCUUCAAGUCUGCUGUUAAAAAGUGGAGCUUAACUCCAUCAUGGCAGUGGAAACUGUUGGGCUUGAGUGUGGUAGGGGCAGAGGGAAUUCCCGGUGUAGCGGUGAAAUGCGUAGAUAUCGGGAAGAACACCAGUGGCGAAGGCGCUCUGCUGGGCCAUCACUGACGCUCAUGGACGAAAGCCAGGGGAGCGAAAGGGAUUAGAUACCCCAGUAGUC
rnacentral:rRNA from 1 species